GACGAACGCUGGCGGCGUGCUUAACACAUGCAAGUCGAACGGAAAGGCCCUGCUUUUGUGGGGUGCUCGAGUGGCGAACGGGUGAGUAACACGUGAGUAACCUGCCCUUGACUUUGGGAUAACUUCAGGAAACUGGGGCUAAUACCGGAUAGGAGCUCCUGCUGCAUGGUGGGGGUUGGAAAGUUUCGGCGGUUGGGGAUGGACUCGCGGCUUAUCAGCUUGUUGGUGGGGUAGUGGCUUACCAAGGCUUUGACGGGUAGCCGGCCUGAGAGGGUGACCGGCCACAUUGGGACUGAGAUACGGGCCAGAGUCCUACGGGAGACAGCAGUGGGGGAUAUAGCGCGAUGGGCGGAAGCCUGAUGAAGCAACGCCGCGUGCGGGAUGACGGCCUUCGGGUUGUAAACCGCAUGCGCCUGUGACGAAGCGUGAGUGACGGUAAUGGGUAAAGAAGCACCGGCUAACUACGUG
rnacentral:rRNA from 1 species